rnacentral:rRNA from 1 species
UACGUAGGGCGCAAGCGUUGUCCGGAAUUAUUGGGCGUAAAGAGCUCGUAGGCGGUCUGUUGCGUCCGCUGUGAAAACUCGGGGCUUAACCCCGAGCCUGCAGUGGAUACGGGCAGACUAGAGGUAGGUAGGGGAGAAUGGAAUUCCCGGUGUAGCGGUGAAAUGCGCAGAUAUCGGGAGGAACACCGGAUGGCGAAGGCGUAGUGGUUCCUUGGGCCCAGUACGUCGAGCGCA